GAAUGUAUGUAUGUUCCAUAUUGUACAUUACAUUCAUUUAUCAGGCUUAACUUUAGUAUGGAAAAAAGUUGCAAGUGCCCAUCAACAAGUCCAUUUAGAAGUCAGAACUCGGGAACACAUAAGUGGACAACAAAAGACCCUGUCCCACCCCUUGCCCACCCCUUCCUUGCCCGCACAUAGUUACAGUUACAGUCAAAGGCCAAGCCCAAGCCCAGAAAUUGAGCUUUUUGAUAGUGAAAAGCCCAUUGAGCUUUUCCGACAAAGGACACGAAGGAACAGCAGAGCCAGAGUGAGGCGGGAGAACGGAUGCUAAAGGCUUGAUGAGUUGACUAUUUGCAAAUGUUAGCAACAAAUGGGAGCAGAUCCUUUAAAACAACAAUGCCAAAACGAUGGUUGAUAAAAGACCAAAGAGAACCAGAAAAGAGAGAGAGAGAGAGGGAGAGGGAGAAUGCCACUUUACAGACUUGGCAAAUGCGACAGCAAAAACAAUGGCGCGAAAAGGUGGGACAGGGAUUGGUGCAAAAAAGGGAAUUCGAAAUGCACAUUUGGCUGUGUAUACAAAACCCAUAUGAGGAGUACACACACACACAAAUGUACAUAUGUACAUAGGUAAAGGGAAUGAUUGCUUGUGUAUAGAUAUGACCCAACUCAUUUAGACCUGCAACGGCAGUGGAGUGGAGCAGCAACAAAGUUUGCCUGCCUGCCAUUUACGCCGCACGAUGGCAAAGUCCACUCUGAAUGCAGGAUAACCGGGGAAGGGGAAUGGGAAUAGCG